GAAGCGGUGGCUCAAUGGUAGAGCUUUCGACUCCAAAUCGAAGGGUUGCAGGUUCAAUUCCUGUCCGUUUCA
rnacentral:ncRNA from 13 species